rnacentral:rRNA from 1 species
AUUGAACGCUGGCGGCAGGCCUAACACAUGCAAGUAGAGCGGAGCGGCGGACGGGUGAGCAAUGCCUAGGCAUCUGCCCGGUAGUGGGGGAUAACGUCCGGAAACGGGCGCUAAUACCGCAUACCAUCAGAUGAGCCUAGGACGGUUUAGCUAGUUGGUGGGGUAAAGGCCUCCCAAGGAGAAGAUCCGUAACUGGUCUGAGAGGAUGAUCAGACACACUGGAAGUGAGACAAGGUCCAGACUCCUACGGUAGGCAGCAGUGGGGAAUAUUGGACAAUGGGCGAUAGCCUGAUCCAGCCAUGGCGCGUGUGUGAAAGAGGUCUUCGGAUUGUAAAGCACUUUAAGUUGGGAGGCGUUACCAACAGAAUAAGCACCGGCUAACUCCGUGCCAGCAGCCGCGGUAGUAC